rnacentral:tRNA from 1 species
GGAGGUGUACUGUCACCGGUGUGGCGCCUGGUCUUCAAAACCAGUGGCGGGCAGAGAUGUCCGUGGUAGGUUCGACUCCUAUACACCUCCGCCA